UCCCAUGUGGUCUAGUGGUUAGGAUUCUGGCUUUCACCCAGGCGGCCCGGGUUGAUUCCCGCAUGGGAA
rnacentral:tRNA from 1 species